AUCAUCAUCCAGGAAGUGACAUUACUUUGGAGGGAAAACACCUGCACAUGGAGCACGGGGUUAUGAACACACACGGUGGGAGAGUUUGCAGAAGUUCAGUAUCAGAUUCGGAUGAGGAUGAAACUGAUCCAGGAUAUUCCAGCCAAAAGGAUGUGUCUCAUUUUCCAGGGAAUUUCCUCCUCCGUGGAGUGCAAGGAAGAGUGGUGGAGCGAUUUGAUAUGUGGGAUGUAUAGGAUAAAGCAGGCCAGAGGGGGUCAUUCACAAGGCUUACUUUACCAGUGUUUCCAGGAAAUGGACAUGGAUGGAUCCGUCCUGUGAGUCCUCGACAGAGUGACCCAAGCAUUAGUAAGUGCAAGCACACAUUUACACUUCUCUUUGGUCCAAUGACAAAUUUGUUUAUGGAUCUAUAUGUUAAGUCCUAUUUGUGUGUUAUUCUGUAACAUCCAC